UGGGGAAUUUUGCACAAUGGGGGAAACCCUGAUGCAGCGACGCCGCGUGAUUUAGAAGGCCUUCGGGUUGUAAAAAUCUUUUUUACGGGAUGAAAAUGACAGUACCGUAAGAAUAAGGUCCGGCUAAAUACGUGCCAGCAGCCGCGGUAAUACGUAUGGACCGAGCGUUGUCCGGAAUCAUUGGGCGUAAAGGGUACGUAGGCGGCCUAGUAAGUUAGAAGUGAAAUAAUAUAGCUCAACUAUAUAAAGCUUUUAAAACUGCUAGGCUUGAGAGAUGGAAGGGAAAGUGGAAUUCCUAGUGUAGCGGUGAAAUGCGCAGAUAUUAGGAAGAAUACCGGUGGCUAAGGCGACUUUCUGGUCAUCAUCUGACGCUGAGGUACGAAAGCGUGGGUAGCAAACAGG
rnacentral:rRNA from 1 species